rnacentral:tRNA from 1 species
GGGGUGCAAGCAUAGGUGGCGAUGCAUUCGCCUUUUAAGCGAGUGAACCAGGUUCGAUUCCCGGGCACCCCA